rnacentral:rRNA from 1 species
UUUAUGGAGAGUUUGAUCCUGGCUCAGGAUGAACGCUGGCGGCGUGCCUAAUACAUGCAAGUCGAGCGAACAGAUGAGAAGCUUGCUUCUCUGAUGUUAGCGGCGGACGGGUGAGUAACACGUGGGUAACCUACCUAUAAGACUGGGAUAACUCCGGGAAACCGGGGCUAAUACCGGAUAAUAUUUUGAACCGCAUGGUUCAAUAGUG